rnacentral:tRNA from 1 species
GCGGCUGUAGUUCAGCUGGUUAGAGCACUGGAUUGUGAUUCCAGGUGUCGUGGGUUCGAAUCCCAUCAGCCGCCCCA